rnacentral:rRNA from 1 species
UACGUAGGGGGCAAGCGUUGUCCGGAUUUAUUGGGCGUAAAGAGCGUGUAGGCGGCCAGACAGGUCUGCUGUGAAAACUCGAGGCUCAACCUCGAGACGCCGGUGGAAACCGUUUGGCUAGAGUCCGGAAGAGGAGAGUGGAAUUCCUGGUGUAGCGGUGAAAUGCGCAGAUAUCAGGAGGAACACCGGUGGCGAAGGCGGUUCUCUGGGCCUGUACUGACGCUGAGGAGCGAAAGCGUGGGGAGCGAACAGG